rnacentral:rRNA from 1 species
CCUACGGGUGGCAGCAGUGAGGAAUAUUGGUCAAUGGGCGCGAGCCUGAACCAGCCAAGUCGCGUGAGGGAAGACGGUCCUAUGGAUUGUAAACCUCUUUUGUCGGGGAGCAAAAGACGCCACGCGUGGCGUUCCGAGAGUACCCGAAGAAAAACCAUCGGCUAACUCCGUUCCAGCAGCCGCGGUAAUACGGAGGAUGCGAGCGUUAUCGGGAUUUAUUGGGUUUAAAGGGUGCGCAGGCGGAAGAUCAAGGCAGCGGUAAAAUUGAGAGGCUCAACCUCUUCGAGCCGUUGAAACUGGUGUUCUUGAGUGAGCGAGAAGUAUGCGGAAUGCGUGGUGUAGCGGUGAAAUGCAUAGAUAUCACGCAGAACUCCGAUUGCGAAGGCAGCAUACCGGCGCUCAACUGACGCUCAUGCACGAAAGUGUGGGUAUCGAACAGGAUUAGAUACCCUUGUAGUC